GAUGCAGAUUUGGAUUUUCUAUUUCAUAGUUAUUGAAAUCAUAAUGAGAAUGAAGUACUGCCACUAAGGUAAAGGUGCUAACUUGCAAGGAGCUGUUCUCAAAACAUUGGGUGACAAAGAAUUCACUUUUACAAAAAUCGAGCAGGAUAUUAAAGACAGCGAACUAUAGAACAAAUAUGGCGAAGCUGCAUGAAGUCUAUGUUGAAUUUUAUUAUU